rnacentral:rRNA from 1 species
UACAGAGGAUGCAAGCGUUAUCCGGAAUGAUUGGGCGUAAAGCGUCCGCAGGUGGUUUUGUAAGUCUGCUGUUAAAGCGUUAGGCUCAACCUAAUAAGGGCAGUGGAAACUAUGAGACUAGAGUAUGUUAGGGGUAGAGGGAAUUCCCAGUGUAGCGGUGAAAUGCUUAGAUAUCGUCAAGAACACCGAUAGUGCAGACAGCUUACUAGGUUCUAACUGACACUGAGGCACGAAAGUGUGGGGAUCAAACAGG